AUUCUGCCCAAGCGGGGAAGGAUGAGAAGCUUCGACCAAGGUUCGACUUGAGCGCCAGCGAGAGAGCGUUGCCGCAGGCAACGACCUGAAGGGCGAAGCGCGCAGCGCUGAGUAAUCCUUCCCCCACCACCA
rnacentral:sRNA from 1 species